GAUGAACGCUGGCGGCGUGCCUAACACAUGCAAGUCGAACGAAGCACUGGAGAGCGGAGAUUCGUCGAAGCACUCCUUUGACUUAGUGGCGGACGGGUGAGUAAUGCGUGAGCAACCUGCCUUUCAGAGGGGGACAACAGUUGGAAACGACUGCUAAUACCGCAUAAUGUACACGGGUGGCAUCACCUGUAUACCAAAGGAGCAAUCCGCUGAGAGAUGGGCUCACGUCUGAUUAGCCAGUUGGUGGGGUAACGGCCUACCAAGUCGACGAUCAGUAGCCGGACUGAGAGGUUCAACGGCCACAUUGGGACUGAGAUACGGCCCAGACUCC
rnacentral:rRNA from 1 species